UACCGGCGCCACAAGUGGAGAUCAUGAUUAUUGGGUCUAAAGUGUUCGUAGCUGGUCUUUUAAGUCUCUUGUGAAAUUCCUGUAGCUUAACUCAGAAAUUGCAAGAGAUACUGUAAGACUUGAAACCGGGAGAGACAAAGAGUAUUGCUUGGGUAGCGGUAAAAUGCUAUAAUCCUUGCAAGACUAACUAUGGCGAAGGCACUUUGUUUGAACGGAUUUGACAGUGAGGAACGAGAGCUAGGGGAGCGAA
rnacentral:rRNA from 1 species